AUGGCCAUCAUUUACAUGUGGAAGAGCAUGAAAGUAGCUGCCAAUAAAAUAGCAAACAAUAGAAAAUUGGUCUGCUACUUUCAAACUAAAAACAGCAUCCUUAUGUUGCCCGUUGGCGCCGGAGUUGAGGUGUCGGGCGGUCCAGCCACGCACCCACUGGCAAGAUCGACCAGCCGAGAUCCAGGGAGGAGGAGGCUGACGAGCGGAAGGCGCAGAGCGGCAGGUGGCGGAGCAAGGUUAGAGGGAGAGGGUAGCGACAGGGAGGCGCCGGCGUGGGAUGCUUCGUCGCGCCGCCAUGAUGUGGCUGCUGGAUGCAGCCAGCGCUCGGGUCGCAUGGCGGCGGAACAGGGGAUCGAGGUAGUUUUUUUCUGUUUGAAAAGGAAAAAGGAAAAGGAGCACCAGAUCGUGGGAAAGAAGGAGCGAAGGAAACAGAAAAAACUGAUCGAAGGAAAAGGGGAGGAGAUCUCGCACGACGCAACCCACCAGACCCGCGUUAAGUUGGUUGCAUAUUUUUACCUACUUAAGUACCGAAACCACUCCUUGGCGAUCGAUCGCGGCGGCGAUCGAUUCCGACCGCGCGUGGAGCACGUUCUGUUCCCUUUCCCUUUCCUGCUAGUUUCUAUUUUGGGAAAACCCACUCGACCACCGCAUCUUAUCCUAUCCCCUGCGCCUCGCCUCCCUACUCUGCCCUGCCGCUUCCCCUCCUCACCGGCCGCUCCUUCCUCGCGGCAGCCCACUAUCCCCGGCGCCUCGCCUCCCUACUCUGCCCUGCCGCUUCCCCUCCUCGCCGGCGGCUCCUCCCUAGCGGCAGCGACCAAUACGGCGAGACGACGCGGCCCCACGAGUGCCGGCGAGGUCAGCGGUGAAUACGGCGAGGCGCCGCAGCCGCACGAGCCCCCGCGACGUCAACGGCGAAUAGGGCAAGGCGCCGCGGCCGCACGAGCGGCGGCGAGGUCAGCAGUGAAUACGGCGAGGCGCCGCGUCCGCACGGGCGGCAGGGGCCAAGGCGGACCGGCCGCACAGCCGCCGCGAUGUCCAGGGGCGGAAGCGGCCAAUACGGCGAGGCGGUGUUUGUCCGGCGGCCCCCUGCUGACACAGCAGCCUAAGAAUGUCGGAAGUGCAUCGUUCUGUGAUGAUUCUGCCAACAAACAAAGGAAGAACAAGGAAGAAGAGAAUUCUUGUCCUGUUGCAGUGCAGUUGCCAUCUGAAGAAGGCGAUCAAGAGCUGAAGCAACAUGGAGCAUCCCGGCCAUCCUUGAAUUCUCCUGGCAACAGGAGGCACAGGCGCAGAGGUAACAGAAAGAAGGGGGAAGAUGGUUCUGCUUCGAGUCCUAUUGAAGCUCAUGUGCCAUCUAAAAAAACGAAGCAAAACAAGUCAAAUUCUCCUGGCAAUAGAAGGCACAGGCGUCGUGGUAACAGCAAGGAGUUGCAUGAUUCUGCUCUGAGUCCUGAUGAAGCUCAUGUGCCAUCUGAAAAAGGGAAGCAAAAGAAGAAGUGGAAUUCUCUUGGCAACAGAAGGACCAAAAGUCCUGGUAACAGGAAGAAGUCAAAUUCUCCUGGCAACAGAAGGACCAACAGUCCUGGUAACAGGAAGAAGGAAGAAGAUGAUUUAAUUUCUUUGAAAGGACUAAUCCUCAUCAGCAUGAGUAUCGGGGGCCAUCCUCCUUGGAAUUUUGUCACUCUGUUUUUCUUGCUGGUCAAAGUGCGAGUACUGACAGGGGUUUUUGUUCUUAGAUUUGGCCACCGGAGCGGAUUGGUUCGAUUGGUUCAAAGGAGUAGGACACGGCCAGGCCCUGCAUUUGUUGGUGCAUCUUCAUGUCUACCAUUUGAUACUUCACAAUUUUGGUCCUUGCCCCCCGGAAGCCAACCCCGUUCAGCGAAUCUAUGGCAUGAUUCAAUUGGGGGGAUCUUUUUGGAUGAAAUUCUGAACACUAUUCAAAGAAAUAAGCAGCUGGCAUUUGUUCUAGAAUAUACUAAAGCGUGGCCUCCGAACAUUCAGCAAAACAGGGACAUUGUGAAUUUACUAGAUUGCGACAAGUCUACACAGGGAAUAGGCCGAGUUUGCAAUGAGCAGCUUGCAGAGCUACUAUGGCCUGAGUUCUCAAAGAGGAGAUGGCAUGGAUUUAAGUACAUUAAUGUCCUUGUACAGCAAGGGAAGCUCCCAAGUAUGCGUUUGAAUAUGGACACAGACUCAAAGAACGGUGGGAUCUUUAUGUGGUCGGGCUCCAAGUGGACCUUCAACCAUGAGUCCUUCACCUGUCCGUUGCUCGACGGUCUGCCCAAACCUGUGCCGGGUCGUAGGAUGAAAGCUGCUUUUACUAAGUUCUACUCAAUGUAG
rnacentral:rRNA from 1 species